rnacentral:rRNA from 1 species
AUUGAACGCUGGCGGCAGGCCUAACACAUGCAAGUCGAGCGAGCGGCGGACGGGUGAGUAAUGUAUGGGGACUGCCCGAUAGAGGGGGAUAACUACUGGAAACGGUGGCUAAUACCGCAUACUAUCGGAUAACCCCUCGGGGAGUAGCUAGUAGGUGGGGUGAAGGCUCACCUAGGCGCCGAUCUCGAGCUGGUCUGAGAGGAUGAUCGGCCAGACUGUGAGUUGGAGACGGCCCAGACUCCUACGGAGGCAGCAGUGGGGAAUAUUGCACCAUUGGCGCAAGCCUGAUGCAGCCAUGCCGCGGGUAUGAAGAAGGCCUUAGGGUUGUAAAGCACUUUAAGUUGGGCGGCGUUACCAACAGAAUAAGCACCGGCUAACUUCGUGCCAGCAGCCGCGGUAAUUC